GGGGUUGUGGCUCAGCGGUAGUGCGCUUGCCUAGCAUGUGUGAGGCCCUGGGUUCGAUUCCCAGCACCA
rnacentral:tRNA from 1 species